GAUGAACGCUGGCGGCGUGCCUAAUACAUGCAAGUCGAGCGAACGGACGAGAAGCUUGCUUCUCUGAUGUUAGCGGCGGACGGGUGAGUAACACGUGGACAACCUACCUAUAAGACUGGGAUAACUUCGGGAAACCGGAGCUAAUACCGGAUAAUAUUUUGAACCGCAUGGUUCAAAAGUGAAAGACGGUCUUGCUGUCACUUAUAGAUGGACCCGCGCUGCAUUAGCUAGUUGGUAAGGUAACGGCUUACCAAGGCAACGAUGCAUAGCCGACCUGAGAGGGUGAUCGGCCACACUGGAACUGAGACACGGUCCAGACUCCUACGGGAGGCAGCAGUAGGGAAUCUUCCGCAAUGGGCGAAAGCCUGACGGAGCAACGCCGCGUGAGUGAUGAAGGUCUUCGGAUCGUAAAACUCUGUUAUUAGGGAAGAACAUAUGUGUAAGUAACUGUGCACAUCUUGACGGUACCUAAUCAGAAAGCCACGGCUAACUACGUG
rnacentral:rRNA from 1 species